GGUUUUAGGAGGAUGAGGGAGGAAGUUGCAGAUAGGAGAGCUUGAAACAGAUUUGUUUUCCCUUCCACUAUGCGAGUCAGCUGAGUUGGAUUCAAAAGGUUGUUCCGCAGAUAUUAAAAGUGAGAAUUGGGAUGCCUGGAACAGCGUGGGAAACACUCGUGGGUCACAUGCUCGGAUCUGCACUCUCACUUCUGGGAAUCAGUUCUACGGAAACAUUUGCACAGAUGUAUGUGUAUGGAUGUAUGGUGGCAUGGUGGCACUGUGUGUGAUAAAUAUUGGAAAUCUUCUAAUCGCCUGGCAAUGGAGGGGUACGUGAAAUAAGCAAUGGAAUGUAUAAAGUAGAUCGAAAGGUAGAAGU
rnacentral:lncRNA from 1 species